rnacentral:lncRNA from 13 species
GAUAGCUCCAUCAUCUUAACACCCAUGGCCUCUUUCUGCAGCCCCAUACAGGAGAGGGGUGAUUCCCCAGAUGGGUGAGACCUGGAUGAGAACCUAGGAACUUGAAGACCAACCAUUUUCUCAUCCCUUUCUUUUUAGUCUUAAGCAUCCCAAAGGUUUCUGCUCUAUUACUCCAUGUCAUAUGCCUUACAGUUCAGGUUCCAGGGAGACAUAAGGAGACCUCACCUUUCCAGAGACUGAGCAGGCUGUAUAGGAAGCAUGAUUCUGGCAUCUGCUUGGCUUCUGGGAAGGCCUCAGGAAAAUUUUACUCAUGGCAGAAGGCAAAGCGGGCGCAGGAGCCUUCACAUGGCUGGAGCAGAAAAAAGAGAGGGCUUGAGGUUGGAGUGAGUGUUUUCAUACCCUUCCAUCCCUCACACCCCAUGAGGACACAGCAUUCAUCUUCCCUGGAGGAUGUAGCAACAAGCACCAUCUUGGAAGCAAAGACCGGGACCCUUAUCAGACAGUACCUUGAUCUAGAACUUCCCAGUCUUCAGGACCAUGAGAAAUAAACUUCUAUGGUUUAUGAAUUUGUCUAUGGAAUUAUGUUGUAUCAGCACAAAUAGACUAAGACAAGGUGCAUGGGAUCUACCUGUACUAUUACUAACAACUACAUCACAAAAUGUCUCUCUAUUAGUCAGAAUUCUCCAAAGACACAGAAUGAAGCACCCUCAAAGAAACACCCACAAUAAGGUUUAAAAAAAUAUGUGCACAUUCUGUGGCCCAGUCAGGUUGACAAAUAAGAUUAACCAUCAUAAAGUCAAAAUUAAAUAAAUGAAUACAUAAUGAAAUACA